AGUUUUAAUCUUGCGACCGUGCUCCCCAGGCGGAAUGCUUAAUCCGUUAGGUGUGACACCAACAAGUAUACUUGCUGACGUCUGGCAUUCAUCGUUUACGGUGUGGACUACCAGGGUAUCUAAUCCUGUUUGCUCCCCACACUUUCGCACCUCAGCGUCAGUUUCGAGCCAGUAAGCCGCCUUCGCCACUGGUGUUCCUCCAAAUAUCUACGAAUUUCACCUCUACACUUGGAAUUCCACUUACCUCUCUCGAACUCAAGACUAGCAGUAUUAAAGGCAGUUCCAGGGUUGAGCCCUGGGAUUUCACCCUUAACUUACUAAUCCGCCUACGUGCGCUUUACGCCCAGUAAUUCCGAACAACGCUAACCCCCUCCGUAUUACCGCGGCUGCUGGCACGGAGUUAGCCGGGGUUUCUUUACCAGAUACUGUCAUUAUCAUCUCUGGCGAAAGUGCUUUACGACCCUAAGGCCUUCAUCACACACGCGGCAUGGCUAGAUCAGGGUUUCCCCCAUUGUCUAAGAUUCCCUACUGCUGCCUCCCGUAGGAGUCUGGGCCGUGUCUCAGUCCCAGUGUGGCUGAUCAUCCUCUCAAACCAGCUAUAGAUCGUAGGCUUGGUAGGCCAUUACCCCACCAACUACCUAAUCUAACGCGGGCUAAUCCUUCUCCGAUAAAUCUUUCCCCCGAAGGGCGUAUAAGGUAUUACUCUCAGUUUCCCGAGGCUAUUCCUUAGAGAAGGGCAUAUUCCCACGCGUUACUCACCCGUCCGCCGCUCAUCCCGAAGGAUGCGCUCGACUUGCAUGUAUUAGGCCUGCCGCCAGCGUUCGUUCUGAGCCAGGAUCAAACUCU
rnacentral:rRNA from 1 species